rnacentral:misc_RNA from 1 species
CCGCAAGCCCAACUUGCAAACUGAAGACAUAGGGUAAGCAAAAUCCCACCUCUCCCACCCAGAAUCCAUGCAAUUAAAUAACCAAUCUUAUAUCCAGCAUCCAAUCUUCGGUCAAACAAAGCCAAUAGACUGCUGAAGGCAAGAGAUAAUCGAGAACCAAAUAUUUGAAGUAAAAACAGAGAUAUGAAGACAGAUCUAAGCAAAUCACUAAAGGGGCCUCUUUCUUGAUCCAAGUUUCCUUCUUCAGCCACCUCUUCUGUAUCACUGUCAGCAGAAGAGUUCUCCUCACUUGCAUUAUAAU